rnacentral:lncRNA from 13 species
CCUUAAGGACACAGCAUCUAACGAACAAGUAAAGGCAUUCCAGAAUUGUAAGUAAACGAAAGACUCAUCAGGCGUGAGGCCAGUUACUGGAAGGUCCAAGAACCAAAUCCCAUGGAGCAGCCCUCAGGCCUUCACAGGAUAAAGUGAGGCACACGGAGGAUCACAGAAAGGCUGUGAAAUUCAUCGCUUUCGUUUGAACAAAUGGAAAGUUCGUUCUGAUCACUGAGAGUGAC